AUACGUAGGUGACAAGCGUUAUCCGGAUUUACUGGGCGUAAAGGGCGUGUGGGCGGUCUUGCAAGUCAGAAGUGAAAUUCCUGAGCUCAACUCGGGAGCUGCUUCUGAAACUGCAGGGCUUGAGUGCUGGAGGGGAUAGCGGAAUUCCUAGUGGAGCGGUAAAAUGCGCAGUUAUUAGGAAGAAAACCGGUGGCGAAGGCGGCUAUCUGGACAGUAACUGACGCUGAGGCGCGAAAGCGUGGGGAGCAAACAGGAUUAGAUACCCUGGUAGACCACGCCGUAAACGAUGAAUACUAGGUGUAGGGGGUAUCGACUCCCUCUGUGCCGCAGUUAACACAAUAAGUAUUCCGCCUGGGGAGUACGGCCGCAAGGUUGAAACUCAAAUGAAUUGGCGGGG
rnacentral:rRNA from 1 species